GACGAACGCUGGCGGCGUGCUUAACACAUGCAAGUCGAGCGGUAAGGCCCUUUCGGGGUACGACGAGCGGCGAACGGGUGAGUAACACGUGGGUGACCUGCCCUUACGCUCUGGGAUAAGCCUGGGAAACUGGGUCUAAUACCGGAUAUGACUCCAUGACGCAUGUUGUGGGGUGGAAAGCCUUGUGCGGCUAGGGAUGGGCCUGCGGCCUAUCAGCUUGUUGGUGGGGUGAGGCCUACCAAGGCGACGACGGGUAGCCGGCCUGAGAGGGCGACCGGCCACACUGGGACUGAGACACGGCCCAGACUCCUACGGGAGGCAGCAGUGGGGAAUCUUGCGCAAUGGGCGAAAGCCUGACGCAGCGACGCCGCGUGGGA
rnacentral:rRNA from 1 species